GGGGAGUAACACCAUGUGAAGACAGAGGUGGAGAUUGGAGGGGUGCAUGUACCAACCAAAGGAAUAUCAAGGGCUGGCAGCAGCACUAGAGCAAGCGAAAGGGAACAAAUCCUUUCUUGACCACCAAUGGCUGCAUGACUUAUCCUGAGAAGAUCAUGGGGAUUUUGGAUGCCAGGUCAACCCUUACACUCAGCAAGGAAGUGGAAGGGCCUCAGUUUCAAACACUUUGUAAACACAGAGGUUAGGUCAUUUCCUCUCCAAUAAGCCAGAAGCUGAGCUGUCCCUGGCAGCAAACUGUGUGUCAAAUGCCUGGCGGGUUUCAGGUUUUACUAACUCCAGAGUGACGAAACAUCACCACCUCUAAUGCCAG
rnacentral:lncRNA from 10 species